UGGAUCCAGACUUUGAUCCUGGCUCAGGACGAACGCUGGCGGCGUGCCUAACACUUGCAAGUCGAACGAAGCUUGAUUUAUGAUUUCUUCGAAAUGAAUAAUGAUAUGACUGAGUGGCGGACGGGUGAGUAACGCGUGAGCAACCUGCCCUUCGGAACGGGAUAGCGUCUGGAAACGGACGGUAAUACCGUAUAACGUAUUUUUACCGCAUGAUAGAAAUACCAAAACUGAGGUGCCGAAGGAUGGGCUCGCGUCUGAUUAGAUAGUUGGUGGGGUAACGGCCUACCAAGUCGACGAUCAGUAGCCGGACUGAGAGGUUGAACGGCCACAUUGGGACUGAGACACGGCCCAGACUCCUACGGGAGGCAGCAGUGGGGAAUAUUGCACAAUGGGGGAAACCCUGAUGCAGCAACGCCGCGUGAAGGAAGACGGUUUUCGGAUUGUAAACUUCUGUUCUUAGUGAAGAUAAUGACGGUAGCUAAGGAGCAAGCCACGGCUAACUACGUGCCAGCAGCCGCGGUAAUACGUAGGUGGCAAGCGUUGUCCGGAAUUACUGGGUGUAAAGGGAGCGUAGGCGGGAAGCCAAGUCAGCUGUGAAAACUACGGGCUUAACCUGUAGACUGCAGUUGAAACUGGUUUUCUUGAGUGAAGUAGAGGUUGGCGGAAUUCCGAGUGUAGCGGUGAAAUGCGUAGAUAUUCGGAGGAACACCGGUGGCGAAGGCGGCCAACUGGGCUUUAACUGACACUGAGGCUCGAAAGUGUGGGGAGCAAACAGGAUUAGAUACCCUGGUAGUCCACACUGUAAACGAUGAUAACUAGGUGUGGGGGGUCUGACCCCUUCCGUGCCGCAGCUAACGCAAUAAGUUAUCCACCUGGGGAGUACGACCGCAAGGUUGCAACUCAAAUGAAUUGACGGA
rnacentral:rRNA from 1 species